CGUCCCCAGUCUUCUCCCAUAAAAAUCCUCUCCAUACUUGUUUCAGUUUGACACCAAACUACAGAUUUCCUCCACUAAAUUCUUUACAGCCUCAACACAAUUUCAAUUACAUCUACAAAUCCUCUUUUGCCAUCAAUAACAGCUCAAAAUCGCAGCCCUGCAAAAUUUACUUCAUACCAGAACUCAUUAAGGUCCACUUGAGAGAAGGAAUUAGCUUUGCUUUUACAAGAAGAGAAUUGUACAUCUUUUAUCUACAGGCUUGUUCUAUCGAGGUGGGUUUUUAUUUUCCAAUGUAUGUUUUGAGUUAUUAAGCUCUACUUGUUUUAUGCAAAUGCAAAUGAAUGUCCAUGUUAAAAUGUUUUUAUCUCUCUAUUGUUUAAAGUGCUCCUAUGUUCUCUAACGAUCGGGUCCUAGCCGGCGUAGCGAUUGGAUCGCCCUGGUUAGGAUUGUGUACACACAAGGGGGUAUUGUGGGCUGCUCCCACUUGCCUCAGACUGUCAGACUUGGGCUGCUCCCAUUUCUGAAACAUGCAUGGUAGUGGACCUCUGUGGGCUGCUCCCACAAGUUCACAUUAUAGGCGAAGCACCAGUAGAGAGAAGACUGAAAAUGGAUCCACAAUUUAUUUUUAUGUAUGCAUAGAAUGCUUUCAAAUAUUUCUAUGUUAUACUGUUCAUAGCAUGGAUUAUUCUUUUAAACGGAUUUUUCAAAUGGCUAAACCCACUGAGUAUAUUAGUACUCAGCCCUGCAAUUGUUUUCGAAACCUUUUGCAGGUUGAGCGGCAGGUGGUGUCGUGCGAGGCUGAGGGAGGAUGUUGCUGUAGUUUCAUAUAAUAAUUUCUGCUGCCAUAAUAUUCACUUAGGUGGAUAUCUUUUGAGAUUGACUCUUUAAAUAUUCUUAGCCUAAUUAUUAUGAACUCUUUUGGCAAAUCGCAUUUCUAGCAACUGAACCUCGCAUAUAUGUAUGUCUAGUUUGAAGUGUUAUCUUGUUGUCUCAGACCUCCGAACUUUUGAUCCUGGUUGGAAGAAUUUCUAUCUAAGUUGUCGUAUUUAUCAUCCUUCAAUUACGAAAUUCCU